rnacentral:rRNA from 1 species
GAUGAACGCUGGCGGCGUGCCUAAUACAUGCAAGUCGAGCGAAGCGGGGACGGGUGAGUAACACGUGGAUAACCUCCUAUAAGACUGGGAUAACUUCGCGAAACCGGCGCUAAACCGGAUACUUAUAUCUGGAUCUGCGCUGCAUUAGCUAGUUGGUAAGGUAACGGCUAACCAAGGCAACGAUGCAUAGCCGACCUGAGAGGGUGACCGGCCACACUGGAACUUGGACACGGUCCAUACUCCUACGGGAGGCAGCAUAAGGGAAUCUUCCGCAAUGGGCGAAAGCCUGACGGAGCAAAGCCGCGUGAGUGAUGAAGGUCUUCGGAUCGUAAAACUCUGUUAUUAGGGAAGCGGUACCUAAUCAGAUAGUCACGGCUAACUACGUGCCAGCAGCCGAGGUAAUUC